ACAGACGGCACAGAAAUGUGCCUUUGCCGUCAGCCAAAAAUGCAUCUUUGCCGUCAUCCAGGAACAUCACAGACGGCAAAGAACAUUAUUUUAUUUAUAAAAAAAUAAACCAACAGACCAAUUGGAGACCCCAAAUGGUCAAAGGUGUAGACAAAAUCAUCACUUGCAUUUUUUCUUUCUUCUGAUAUUCAUUCGUUUGUGCCGCGCUUUGGUAGUCUGACAACCAUCUUAGUCUGACAAUCAUCUUAUGUAUGCAUCAUACAAGUUUCAUUACACAGGGAUUACAAAGGGUGUCAAACAAAAAAAUCAGAUUACAGAGGGAUUACAAAGGGUGUCAAACAAAAAAAACAGAUUACAGACGGUGGCUGGCGUGGUACGGGUGAGCCACGCCAUUGCCGUCGUGGCACAACAGUGGCCGGUGCGGAACGACGGUGACCGGCGUGGAACGGAGCGUGCAGGCCGUUGCGGCACGAUUCGCCGCAAGCGGGGCUGAUGGGGAACAAGGCCGGGGCCGAUGAGGGCGAUGUGCCGGGGUCGACGAUGGACGGGGCAGGGGCCAGCAGAGGCCUACGGGAGCGAAUGCAACGCGG
rnacentral:rRNA from 1 species